rnacentral:rRNA from 1 species
UACGGGGGGGGUAAGCGUUGUUCGGAAUUACUGGGCGUAAAGGGCUCGUAGGCGGCCAACUAAGUCAUACGUGAAAUCCCUCAGCUUAACUGGGGAACUGCGUGUGAUACUGGAUGGCUUGGAUUUGGGAGAGGGAUGCGGAAUUCCAGGUGUAGCGGUGAAAUGCGUAGAUAUCUGGAGGAACACCGGUGGCGAAGGCGGGUCUCUGGGCCGAUACUGACGCUGAGGAGCGAAAGCGUGGGGAGCAAACAGG